CAGUCGCCACGGUAAUACAGAGGGUGCGAGCGUUAAUCGGAUUUACUGGGCGUAAAGCGUGCGUAGGCGGCUUCUUAAGUCGGAUGUGAAAUCCCUGAGCUUAACUUAGGAAUUGCAUUCGAUACUGGGAAGCUAGAGUAUGGGAGAGGAUGGUAGAAUUCCAGGUGUAGCUGUGAAAUGCGUAGAGAUCUGGAGGAAUACCGAUGGCGAAGGCAGCCAUCUGGCCUAAUACUGACGCUGAGGUACGAAAGCAUGGGGAGCAAACAGGAUUAGAUACCCGCGUAGUCCCUGUCUCUUAUAC
rnacentral:rRNA from 1 species